GAUGAACGCUGGCGGCGUGCCUAAUACAUGCAAGUCGAGCGAACGGACGAGAAGCUUGCUUCUCUGAUGUUAGCGGCGGACGGGUGAGUAACACGUGGAUAACCUACCUAUAAGACUGGGAUAACUUCGGGAAACCGGAGCUAAUACCGGCUAAUAUUUUGAACCGCAUGGUUCAAAAGUGAAAGGCGGUCUUGCUGUCACUUAUAGAUGGAUCCGCGCUGCAUUAGCUAGUUGGUAAGGUAACGGCUUACCAAGGCAACGAUGCAUAGCCGACCUGAGAGGGUGAUCGGCCACACUGGAACUGAGACACGGUCCAGACUCCUACGGGAGGCAGCAGUAGGGAAUCUUCCGCAAUGGGCGAAAGCCUGACGGAGCAACGCCGCGUGAGUGAUGAAGGUCUUCGGAUCGUAAAACUCUGUUAUUAGGGAAGAACAUAUGUGUAAGUAACUGUGCACAUCUUGACGGUACCUAAUCAGAAAGCCACGGCUAACUACGUG
rnacentral:rRNA from 1 species